rnacentral:lncRNA from 1 species
CUUCAUCUCAUCUUGGUUUGUUCAUGAACUUGUUCAUCUUCAUCUCUUAAUAUUCUUCAUUUUCAAAACUUCAUUUCUUUCAUCAUUGUCUUCUUUCUUCAAAAACCCAUAACUUAAUCUUCAAUUUUGCUUCGUCACCAUUAUCACUCCAAACAACUCAGAACCAAAAUAAAAAGACAUUUCAGAUUCGGACUCAGAACUCAAAACUUUGCAAAUUAGAACCCAAACCCAAAAAAGUCAAAAUAAUCUAGAACCCCAAUAUCAAUUUUUUUUGGUAAAAUACUCGGUCAAAUCUACAAAAUCCACACAUAAAUGUUUAUACAAAAUUCCACGGAACCAUCAAGACAAUCGCAAAAAUCAAAUUUGAGAAUUAAAAUUCGACUUUGAUAUACCUCAGUAUAUGGGAUGCCCAGAAAAUUGCAAGCACAAGACCAAGAGACUAUUGUUUCUGUGAUAUGCAUCCUUUGGCCCUUCAGCCCACUCCCAGUCCCACAAGCAGAUUCCCUAGCCUGUGGCGGAGAUCGAAGUUUUGAAAACCCAAGGAUCAAUCUUUGAUUUUUUCGGCUUUGAAGAGAUUUCCUUGGAAAUACAAGGCAGGAUUUGAGACGAGGUUGAAGAGAGAAAUAUUUUGGUGGUAGGAUCGGCCGGAGAAGGCCAUGGAUGGCAGUGGUUAAGGUAUGAAGAAAGAAGAGAAUGGAGAAGAUGAAAGAGGAAAAGAAAAAAAAGUCAAUGAAGUGAGAAAGAAAAAGGUUUUUUUGUUAUUUUGAUUUAAUUUUUUGGUAACUUUGUUAGUUUAUAACUUUUUUUUAAAAAUUUUAUUUAAUUUUUAAUAUUUAUUGAUUUUUUUAUAAUUUUUAUAACUUCUAAUCUAUUUUUAGAUUUUUUUUAAACAUUUUAAAAUAUUUUUUUAAAAUGAUUAUAUCAUUCAUUGACACGUGGCAUAAUUUCAUAAGGCCACAUGUCUCAAACUUAACACCAUUACAAAAAAAAAAAGUAUAGUGGACAAAAUGAAAAUUUGAGUACCAACUUAAAAC